rnacentral:misc_RNA from 1 species
GAUGAAGAACGUAGCGAAAUGCGAUACGUAGUGUGAAUUGCAGAAUUCAGUGAAUCAUCGAAUCUUUGAACGCACAUUGCACCUCUCGGUAUUCCGGGAGGUAUGCCUGUUCGAGCGUCAUUUGUACCCUCAAGCUCUGCUUGGUGUUGGGUGUUUGUUCCGCCUCUGUGUGUGAACUCGCCUCAAAACAAUUGGCAGCCGGCGUACUUGUUUCGGAGCGCAGCACAUUUUGCGAUCCAGAUCAACGUACAGCGGCAUCCAAGAAGCCUUAUUUAACGCUCUUGACCUCGGAUCAGGUGGGGAUACCCGCUGAACUUAAGCAUAUCAAUAAGCGGAGGA